rnacentral:rRNA from 1 species
CUGGAGGUAUCAGAAGUGCGAAUGCUGACAUAAGUAACGAUAAAGCGGGUGAAAAGCCCGCUCGCCGGAAGACCAAGGGUUCCUGUCCAACGUUAAUCGGGGCAGGGUGAGUCGACCCCUAAGGCGAGGCCGAAAGGCGUAGUCGAUGGGAAACAGGUUAAUAUUCCUGUACUUGGUGUUACUGCGAAGGGGGGACGGAGAAGGCUAUGUUGGCCGGGCGACGGUUGUCCCGGUUUAAGCGUGUAGGCUGGUUUUCCAGGCAAAUCCGGAAAAUCAAGGCUGAGGCGUGAUGACGAGGCACUACGGUGCUGAAGCAACAAAUGCCCUGCUUCCAGGAAAAGCCUCUAAGCAUCAGGUAACAUCAAAUCGUACCCCAAACCGACACAGGUGGUCAGGUAGAGAAUACCAAGGCGCUUGAGAGAACUCGGGUGAAGGAACUAGGCAAAAUGGUGCCGUAACUUCGGGAGAAGGCACGCUGAUAUGUAGGUGAAGCGACUUGCUCGUGGAGCUGAAAUCAGUCGAAGAUACCAGCUGGCUGCAACUGUUUAUUAAAAACACAGCACUGUGCAAACACGAAAGUGGACGUAUACGGUGUGACGCCUGCCCGGUGCCGGAAGGUUAAUUGAUGGGGUUAGCGGUAACGCGAAGCUCUUGAUCGAAGCCCCGGUAAACGGCGGCCGUAACUAUAACGGUCCUAAGGUAGCGAAAUUCCUUGUCGGGUAAGUUCCGACCUGCACGAAUGGCGUAAUGAUGGCCAGGCUGUCUCCACCCGAGACUCAGUGAAAUUGAACUCGCUGUGAAGAUGCAGUGUACCCGCGGCAAGACGGAAAGACCCCGUGAACCUUUACUAUAGCUUGACACUGAACAUUGAGCCUUGAUGUGUAGGAUAGGUGGGAGGCUUUGAAGUGUGGACGCCAGUCUGCAUGGAGCCGACCUUGAAAUACCACCCUUUAAUGUUUGAUGUUCUAACGUUGGCCCCUGAUCGGGGUUGCGGACAGUGUCUGGUGGGUAGUUUGACUGGGGCGGUCUCCUCCUAAAGAGUAACGGAGGAGCACGAAGGUUGGCUAAUCCUGGUCGGACAUCAGGAGGUUAGUGCAAUGGCAUAAGCCAGCUUGACUGCGAGCGUGACGGCGCGAGCAGGUGCGAAAGCAGGUCAUAGUGAUCCGGUGGUUCUGAAUGGAAGGGCCAUCGCUCAACGGAUAAAAGGUACUCCGGGGAUAACAGGCUGAUACCGCCCAAGAGUUCAUAUCGACGGCGGUGUUUGGCACCUCGAUGUCGGCUCAUCACAUCCUGGGGCUGAAGUAGGUCCCAAGGGUAUGGCUGUUCGCCAUUUAAAGUGGUACGCGAGCUGGGUUUAGAACGUCGUGAGACAGUUCGGUCCCUAUCUGCCGUGGGCGCUGGAGAACUGAGGGGGGCUGCUCCUAGUACGAGAGGACCGGAGUGGACGCAUCACUGGUGUUCGGGUUGUCAUGCCAAUGGCACUGCCCGGUAGCUAAAUGCGGAAGAGAUAAGUGCUGAAAGCAUCUAAGCACGAAACUUGCCCCGAGAUGAGUUCUCCCUGAGACUUU